AAGUCGUAACAAGGUAUCCGUAGGUGAACCUGCGGAUGGAUCAUUAUCACGUUAUCCACGUAUCAACCAUUGUGAACUGUUGAAUGUAUAUAUAUUGUUGUUUGUUGGGGGGUUUCCCUCAACUUUCAUUAAUAUAUAUAUAUUUUUUAUUAUUAACUAUUUCCACAAUUUUUAAAUAAUUAAAUCUUUGAACUGAAACAUUUCUUACUCUUCGGAGAAGAAAUAAAAAAUUACGAAACAUAAGAACAACUCUUAGCAACGGAUAUCUUGGUUCUC
rnacentral:misc_RNA from 1 species